rnacentral:rRNA from 1 species
AGAUUGAACGCUGGCGGCAGGCCUAACACAUGCAAGUCGAGCGGUAGAGAGGUGCUUGCAUCUCUUGAGAGCGGCGGACGGGUGAGUAAUGCCUAGGAAUCUGCCUAGUGGUGGGGGAUAACGUUCGGAAACGGACGCUAAUACCGCAAUACGUCCUACGGGAGAAAGCGGGGGACCUUCGGGCCUCGCGCCAUUAGAUGAGCCUAGGUCGAUUAGCUAGUUGGUGAGGUAUGGCUCACCAAGGCGACGAUCCGUAACUGGUCUGAGAGGAUGAUCAGUCACACUGGAACUGAGACACGGUCCAGACUCCUACGGGAGGCAGCAGUGGGGAAUAUUGGACAAGUGGGCGAAAGCCUGAUCCAGCCAUGCCGCGUGUGUGAAGAAGUCUUCGGAUUAGAAAGCUACGUUUAAGUUGGGAGGUAACGGUUAGUAACCGUAAUCCGUUUAGACGUAACUUUCGACGUUUACCGACUAGAA